rnacentral:lncRNA from 1 species
AAAGUGUCCAACAUACAGUUGGUGUAAAAUUUUAAAAAAUGAUUCCCAUUUAUCCCUUGCUUUAGCUAAUGCUGAUUCCUUCAUGCGGUAUGCCUUUGCCUUCUUCCAUGUACCUGUCGGAUUUCCACCCGCCUCUCAAGGACUAGGUACUUCCUUCCCUUUUCAGCUGCUGGGCCCAAGUCCUUGAAGUUAUUUUUCCCUCUGAACCUUGUUUCUCUAUUACAGCAGGUGCUGUGGUCUGCCUUGUAUCAGGAUCGUUGGUACAUGUUUGUCUGGCCUGCAUACAAUCAGGAGCCUCUGGGGGCAGCGAUAUUGAACUCACCUUUGCAUCCCUCUAGAGUACCUUUGGAGAGACUUGCAUAUAACAGUUCCUCAGUGACAGCUAAAUUUAAAAGAAUUGCUUGCUAUGGCCCCAGGACUCCUGGAAGAUGAUAUGUGGCAAUAACUGUCACCCAGAGCCACCAAAGCACUUCACCUGCCCUGCCUUGUAGCCUGCCCUGCCUUGUAGUGCUUCUGCCGGGUGUCACUGCUAUUUGUAUGUUAAUUAGACUGGGGGUUCCCCGAGAGUGGCUUGUAUCUCCGUGACCCCUGUGUCUCCGCCGGGGCCCUGCACAGUGUCUGCUACACCGGAGCAGCAAAAUAAAUGGGGCUGGUUGAAGGAGUAAGCUAAGGCCAGCUAACUGCUCUCAAGCGCCUUUAAUUAUGGUCUUUGGUGCCCUCUUACCGCUUCAUCUUAUUUAUCACUCUUUUCCUGAGACCUUCUAAGAUAGAAUGCAGACACAAACGUGCGCAUGCACACACACGCACGCUGGCUUAAUAUAUGCACAGUGGAAGCUGAAUACAUCUCGCUGGGACACUUCCACACUUGUUAAGACAGUUCCCAAAACACAUUAAAAAAUGAUGGAUUGUGCCGUCCCGGCUCCUUGUUCGUUUUAGCACGAUAGAAUUUCUUGAUAGUGUCUGAUUUCAGAGCACACCUGUAGACCUAGUGACAGCCUGCGCUCCUGGGUGGGUUUGGAAAAGCGCUUAUUUGUUCUGAAGCUAAAAUUAAACUGCAAGUUUUUACAUGUUGUUUAGCGGCAGCAGCUGAUGCAAAUCUUUGUCAACACGGAACUUUUCACACCUCAGGUUUCAACUACAGUAAGUGGAUUACUAUGUAAGACUGGCAUUGGGUUUUUGGCACUGAGAAUGAAUGAACUAGCUUGGAGAAAUUAAAAGUCAUGCUCUUUAUCUUCCUUUGAGUUACAAUCUUUUAAUUUUAAGAAUUUUCAGAAUUUGGGCCACUUUUGUUCUUUCGUAGCACUUUUGAGUUUCCUCGUUCCAGCCAGGAUGCCUGGACGGAAAAGGGAAGCGCCAAGCGCUUGUGUUGGUGAGGUGAUCGUCUUUCCUGGAGAGGGAAGUGGCCUUGUCUGGAGUCUGAAACGCUAAUCUCGCCACGCUCUGGUUUGCCGUGCUG